rnacentral:rRNA from 1 species
GGAGUCUGGGCCGUGUCUCAGUCCCAAUGUGGCCGGUCAUCCUCUCAGAUCGGCUACUGAUCGUCGCCUUGGUGGGCCGUUACCUCACCAACUAGCUAAUCAGACGCGGGUCCAUCUCGUACCACCGGAGUUUUUCACACUGUACCAUGCGAUACUGUGCGCUUAUGCGGUAUUAGCAGCCGUUUCCAACUGUUGUCCCCCUGUACGAGGCAGGUUACCCACGCGUUACUCACCCGUCCGCCACUCAGUCAACAAAUCGUCACUCCGAAAAGAUCGUAAUAAGUUGCUUCGUUCGACUUGCAUGUGUUAAGCACGCCGCCAGCGUUCAUC